rnacentral:rRNA from 1 species
GUGCAUCCGCAGCUACCAUGCAGUCGAGCGGUAACAGGGGUAGCUUGCUACCCGCUGACGAGCGGCGGACGGGUGAGUAAUGCAUAGGAAUCUGCCCGAUAGUGGGGGAUAACCUGGGGAAACCCAGGCUAAUACCGCAUACGUCCUACGGGAGAAAGGGGGCUCCGGCUCCCGCUAUUGGAUGAGCCUAUGUCGGAUUAGCUAGUUGGUAAGGUAAUGGCUUACCAAGGCAACGAUCCGUAGCUGGUCUGAGAGGAUGAUCAGCCACAUCGGGACUGAGACACGGCCCGAACUCCUACGGGAGGCAGCAGUGGGGAAUAUUGGACAAUGGGGGCAACCCUGAUCCAGCCAUGCCGCGUGUGUGAAGAAGGCCCUCGGGUUGUAAAGCACUUUCAGCGAGGAAGAACGCCUAUCGGUUAAUACCCGGUAGGAAAGACAUCACUCGCAGAAGAAGCACCGGCUAACUCCGUGCCAGCAGCCGCGGUAAUACGGAGGGUGCAAGCGUUAAUCGGAAUUACUGGGCGUAAAGCGCGCGUAGGUGGCUUGAUAAGCCGGUUGUGAAAGCCCCGGGCUCAACCUGGGAACGGCAUCCGGAACUGUCAGGCUAGAGUGCAGGAGAGGAAGGUAGAAUUCCCGGUGUAGCGGUGAAAUGCGUAGAGAUCGGGAGGAAUACCAGUGGCGAAGGCGGCCUUCUGGACUGACACUGACACUGAGGUGCGAAAGCGUGGGUAGCAAACAGGAUUAGAUACCCUGGUAGUCCACGCCGUAAACGAUGUCGACCAGCCGUUGGGUGCCUAGAGCACUUUGUGGCGAAGUUAACGCGAUAAGUCGACCGCCUGGGGAGUACGGCCGCAAGGUUAAAACUCAAAUGAAUUGACGGGGGCCCGCACAAGCGGUGGAGCAUGUGGUUUAAUUCGAUGCAACGCGAAGAACCUUACCUACCCUUGACAUCUACAGAAGCCGGAAGAGAUUCUGGUGUGCCUUCGGGAACUGUAGACAGGUGCUGCAUGGCUGUCGUCAGCUCGUGUGUGAAAUGUUGGGGUAAGUCCC